UACGUAGGGUGCAAGCGUUGUCCGGAAUUAUUGGCGUAAAGAGCUCGUAGGCGGUCUGUCGCGUCGGCUGUGAAAUCCCGAGGCUCAACCUCGGGUCUGCAGUCGAUACGGGCAAACUGGAGUACUGCAGGGGAGACUGGAAUUCCUGGUGUAGCGGUGAAAUGCGCAGAUAUCAGGAGGAACACCGGUGGCGAAGGCGGGUCUCUGGGCAGUAACUGACGCUGAGGAGCGAAAGCGUGGGGAGCGAACAGG
rnacentral:rRNA from 1 species